rnacentral:rRNA from 1 species
GAUGAACGCUGGCGGCGUGCCUAAUACAUGCAAGUCGAGCGAACGGACGAGAAGCUUGCUUUUCUGAUGUUAGCGGCGGACGGGUGAGUAACACGUGGAUAACCUACCUAUAAGACUGGGAUAACUUCGGGAAACCGGAGCUAAUACCGGAUAAUAUUUUGAACCGCAUGGUUCAAAAGUGAAAGACGGUCUUGCUGUCACUUAUAGAUGGAUCCGCGCUGCAUUAGCUAGUUGGUAAGGUAACGGCUUACCAAGGCAACGAUGCAUAGCCGACCUGAGAGGGUGAUCGGCCACACUGGAGCUGAGACCCGGUCCAGACUCCUACGGGAGGCAGCAGUAGGGAAUCUUCCGCAAUGGGCGAAAGCCUGGCGGAGCAACGCCGCGUGAGUGAUGAAGGUCUUCGGAUCGUAAAACUCUGUUAUUAGGGAAGAACAUAUGUGUAAGUAACUGUGCACAUCUUGACGGUACCUAAUCAGAAAGCCACGGCUAACUACGU